rnacentral:siRNA from 1 species
AUGACGAAGGCCGCUCUACUUCA